GAUGAACGCUGGCGGCGUGCUUAACACAUGCAAGUCGAACGGUGAAGCAGAGCUUGCUCUGUGGAUCAGUGGCGAACGGGUGAGUAACACGUGAGCAAUCUGCCCCUGACUCUGGGAUAAGCGCUGGAAACGGCGUCUAAUACCGGAUACGAGCUGCGACCGCAUGGUCAGUAGCUGGAAAGAAUUUCGGUCAGGGAUGAGCUCGCGGCCUAUCAGCUUGUUGGUGAGGUAAUGGCUCACCAAGGCGUCGACGGGUAGCCGGCCUGAGAGGGUGACCGGCCACACUGGGACUGAGACACGGCCCAGACUCCUACGGGAGGCAGCAGUGGGGAAUAUUGCACAAUGGGCGCAAGCCUGAUGCAGCAACGCCGCGUGAGGGAUGACGGCCUUCGGGUUGUAAACCUCUUUUAGCAGGGAAGAAGCGAAAGUGACGGUACCUGCAGAAAAAGCGCCGGCUAACUACGUGCCAGCAGCCGCGGUAAUACGUAGGGCGCAAGCGUUAUCCGGAAUUAUUGGGCGUAAAGAGCUCGUAGGCGGUCUGUCGCGUCUGCUGUGAAAACCCGAGGCUCAACCUCGGGCCUGCAGUGGGUACGGGCAGACUAGAGUGCGGUAGGGGAGAUUGGAAUUCCUGGUGUAGCGGUGGAAUGCGCAGAUAUCAGGAGGAACACCGAUGGCGAAGGCAGAUCUCUGGGCCGUAACUGACGCUGAGGAGCGAAAGGGUGGGGAGCAAACAGGCUUAGAUACCCUGGUAGUCCACCCCGUAAACGUUGGGAACUAGUUGUGGGGUCCAUUCCACGGAUUCCGUGACGCAGCUAACGCAUUAAGUUCCCCGCCUGGGGAGUACGGCCGCAAGGCUAAAACUCAAAGGAAUUGACGGGGACCCGCACAAGCGGCGGAGCAUGCGGAUUAAUUCGAUGCAACGCGAAGAACCUUACCAAGGCUUGACAUAUAGAGGAAACGUCUGGAAACAGUCGCCCCGCAAGGUCUCUAUACAGGUGGUGCAUGGUUGUCGUCAGCUCGUGUCGUGAGAUGUUGGGUUAAGUCCCGCAACGAGCGCAACCCUCGUUCUAUGUUGCCAGCACGUAAUGGUGGGAACUCAUGGGAUACUGCCGGGGUCAACUCGGAGGAAGGUGGGGAUGACGUCAAAUCAUCAUGCCCCUUAUGUCUUGGGCUUCACGCAUGCUACAAUGGCCGGUACAAAGGGCUGCAAUACCGUGAGGUGGAGCGAAUCCCAAAAAGCCGGUCCCAGUUCGGAUUGAGGUCUGCAACUCGACCUCAUGAAGUCGGAGUCGCUAGUAAUCGCAGAUCAGCAACGCUGCGGUGAAUACGUUCCCGGGUCUUGUACACACCGCCCGUCAAGUCAUGAAAGUCGGUAACACCUGAAGCCGGUGGCCCAACCCUUGUGGAGGGAGCCGUCGAAGGUGGGAUCGGUAAUUAGGACUAAGUCGUAACAAGGUAGCCGUACCG
rnacentral:rRNA from 1 species